rnacentral:rRNA from 1 species
UACGGGGGGGGUAAGCGUUGUUCGGAAUUACUGGGCGUAAAGGGCUCGUAGGCGGCCAACUAAGUCAUACGUGAAAUCCCUCAGCUUAACUGGGGAACUGCGUGUGAUACUGGAUGGCUUGGAUUUGGGAGAGGGAUGCGGAAUUCCAGGUGUAGCGGUGAAAUGCGUAGAUAUCGGGAGGAACACCAGUGGCGAAGGCGACUACCUGGCCUGGUUUCUUGACGCUGAGGCGCGAAAGCUA